rnacentral:rRNA from 1 species
UACAGAGGGGGCUAGCGUUGUUCGGAAUUACUGGGCGUAAAGGGCUCGUAGGCGGCCAACUAAGUCGGAUGUGAAAUCCCCAGGCUUAACCUGGGAACUGCAUCCGAUACUGGAUGGCUUGAAUUCGGGAGAGGGAUGCAGAAUUCCAGGUGUAGCGGUGAAAUGCGUAGAUAUCUGGAGGAAUACCGGUGGCGAAGGCGGCAUCCUGGACCGGUAUUGACGCUGAGGCGCGAAAGCCAGGGGAGCAAACGGG